rnacentral:lncRNA from 1 species
GUACAAGAGAAAAUGAGGAGUCAAGAUCACUCCUAGGGUUUUAGCCUGUGUAACUAGAAUAAACUUGUUUAUUAAGAUGGCAAUAGUUUCUACGUUUUAUUAUUCAUAGGCUUAAAGGAACAUUCCUGCUAACACAGAUUUUCUUUCUUUUAGAUUAUAAUUUUAGAAUGCAUUUCCAGUUGUGCUGUUUUGCUCUUAAAACAUGUUGAUGGAUGCGCCUCCAUGAUCCAAACACUUCCCACCAGUCUUCAUUUUCAACAUUAGAGAUCAGAUUUCAACAUGAGACCUGGACCAAACAAACCAUAUCCAAGUCAUAGCAAUAUCUUUGCAUAUCAUUCAUCAGGACAGUGAUUUAAAACUAUCUGCAUACUCUAAUAUUAUUUGUUUUCUUAGUUAAUUUACUUCAAUUUUUCUACUUCUGUUAUAUAUUUUUUCAUUUUUAUUCUGUUAAUAAGCAUUUAUUGAAAAAUUUUCUUUGCUUUCCAACUUUUAGGUUCAAGAGGUAUAUGUGCACGUUUGUUACAUGGGUAAAUUGCAUGUCAUAGAGGUUUGGCGUACAGAUAGUUUUUUCACCCAGAUAUUAUGCUGACUUCUCCAGUAUACCAAGAAAGAAAAAGAAGAAGAAAGGGGGGGGGGCGGGCGGGUGGAAGGAAAGAAGGAAAGAAGGAAGGAAGGAAGGGAGGAAGGAAGGGAGGGCAGUAAAAAAGAAAAGAAAACAAAUGUGAAGGAAUUUAGAAAAUAAAAUGAUUAGCUCUAGUCAGCGCUGUAGGGUAGGGGAAAAAAAGAUCUGAAAAGACUUCAUAAAUGUGGUGGUAUUUGGCAAAUGUUCAAAAUUGAUUUAGCUUUCCUCCAGCAAGAUGAUGCUGUGUAUUUCUUUUCCAGAAAUAGAUGAGUUAUAGGAAUUAAAGAAAAAAGUAAACAGAAAAAUCUCUGCCUAGAAAACUAAAUUGUGAGUGGAAUAGGAGCAGGAAAUGAGUAAUGAACUUCUAUAGGUUUAAUUUCUUGUGUUCCAUGGAAAAUAAAAUAAUUAAUGUAAAUUGUCAUUUUAUCUUUUAUAAGCAUUAAAUUCAUAUUUAGAUAAUUUUAGAGUUUAGAGGACCCUUAGAGACUUGGGAAAAGGAAAUUGCAUGCUAAGGAAGUGGCAGAUUUAGAAUGAGAAAUGACAUCUUGUGAUCCACAAGCCAGUGCCUGCUCCCCAACAGCACAUGCCAUUUGCCGAUUGCUGUUUAACCAAACCAGGAUUUCUUGCUUCUCUAAUAACCAAUGGUGAAAAUGAUGGAGAGACAGAGAGAAAGACAGGGACAGAGAGAGAGCGAGAGCAAGCGAGCGAGCGCGAGAGUGCCUACCGGGGGAAAGGAAGGAAAGGGGGAGAAAGGAUUGGCAAGGAAAUAAAAACACAAAACACUCUAUGCCUUACAAACUGGCAGUCAAUGGUAGGGUUUUGGUAGCUGCUCCAAGAAUAUAACUCCAAAAUUUCAGUUUCUUUCACGCUUAGGUAACAGUUCAAUGCAAAUCCAGAUUGUGCAUUUUAAAGUUUUCUGUGUUGAUCAUUCUUCCUCCAGUUU